UUCUGCAGCCUUACCACCCUGAAUGCACCUGAUCCCAUCUGAUCUUGGAAGCUAAGCAAGUUUGGGCCUGGUUAGUUCUUAGAUGGGAGGAA
rnacentral:rRNA from 1 species